rnacentral:piRNA from 1 species
UAGGUAACUGUUGAGUGCUUAGCCGUCUA